ACUUUAGUAGCGCGCUGCUACACGCUACAUAUAUUGUUUUUUAAUCGUAGUUUUCAGUAAUUCAAAUACUUUUCAUUUAAAUGUUAUUAUUAAAUUUGUACACAUAUUAAAUUUAGAAUGGUUAGAUUAUGGCAAGUGAAGAAAUUUUCCUCAAAAUGUAAUCAAAAGAAUAGUGUUACGCUAUUAUUAUCUAUCAUAAUAGCCCCGUCAUGGACCUCCCUUAGCGGGAUCAUUGAGCUCAGUGGGAGCAGGAGAAGAGCAUUCUCCACCUAUUUACAGGCCUGGCUCGCAAGCUUACGUAGUAUCCCAA